rnacentral:rRNA from 1 species
AUUGAACGCUGGCGGCAGGCUUAACACAUGCAAGUCGAGCGAGUGGCGGACGGGUGAGUAAUGUCUGGGAAACUGCCUGAUAGAGGGGGAUAACUACUGGAAACGGUAUCUAAUACCGCAUACUAUCGGAUGUGCCCAGAUGGGAUUAGCUAGUAGGUGGGGUAAUGGCUCACCUAGGCGACGAUCCCGAGCUGGUCUGAGAGGAUGACCAGGCAAACUGGAACGUAGACACGGUCCAGACUCCUACGGGAGGCAGCAGUGGGGAAUAUUGCACAAUGGGCGCAAGCCUGAUGCAGCCAUGCCGCGUGUGUGAAGAAGGCCUUCGGGUUGUAAAGCACUUUCAGCGAGGAGGCGUUACUCGCAGAAGAAGCACCGGCUAACUCCGUGCCAGCAGCCGCGGUAAUUC